GAUGAACGCUGGCGGCGUGCCUAAUACAUGCAAGUCGAGCGAACAGACGAGGAGCUUGCUCCUCUGACGUUAGCGGCGGACGGGUGAGUAACACGUGGAUAACCUACCUAUAAGACUGGGAUAACUGCGGGAAACCGGAGCUAAUACCGGAUAAUAUAUUGAACCGCAUGGUUCAGUAGUGAAAGACGGUUUUGCUGUCACUUAUAGAUGGAUCCGCGCCGCAUUAGCUAGUUGGUAAGGUAACGGCUUACCAAGGCAACGAUGCGUAGCCGACCUGAGAGGGUGAUCGGCCACACUGGAACUGAGACACGGUCCAGACUCCUACGGGAGGCAGCAGUAGGGAAUCUUCCGCAAUGGGCGAAAGCCUGACGGAGCAACGCCGCGUGAGUGAUGAAGGUCUUCGGAUCGUAAAACUCUGUUAUUAGGGAAGAACAAAUGUGUAAGUAACUAUGCACGUCUUGACGGUACCUAAUCAGAAAGCCACGGCUAACUACGUG
rnacentral:rRNA from 1 species